rnacentral:rRNA from 1 species
GACGAACGCUGGCGGCGUGCUUAACACAUGCAAGUCGUACGGUAAGGCCCUUUCGGGGGUACACGAGUGGCGAACGGGUGAGUAACACGUGAGUAACCUGCCCACAAAUUUGGGAUAACGCUAGGAAACUGGUGCUAAUACUGGAUAUGUGCUCCUGCUGCAUGGUGGGGGUUGGAAAGCUCCGGCGGUUGUGGAUGGACUCGCGGCCUAUCAGCUUGUUGGUGGGGUAGUGGCCUACCAAGGCGGCGACGGGUAGCCGGCCUGAGAGGGUGACCGGCCACAUUGGGACUGAGAGACGGCCCAGACUCCUACGGGAGGCAGCGGUGGGGAAUAUUGCACAAUGGGCGCAAGCCUGAUGCAGCAACGCCGCGUGCGGGAUGACGGCCUUCGGGUUGUAAACCGCUUUCAGCAGGGACGAAGCUUUUUGUGACGGUACCUGCAGAAGAAGCACCGGCUAACUACGUG